rnacentral:rRNA from 1 species
GAACGCUGGCGGCGUGCUUAAUACAUGCAAGUCGAACGAAGCACUUUCAGCGGAGAUCUUCGGAUCGAAGCCGGUUGUGACUUAGUGGCGGACGGGUGAGUAACGCGUGGGUAACCUGCCUUAUACAGGGGGAUAACAGUUAGAAAUGACUGCUAAUACCCCAUAAGCGCACGACAUCGCAUGAUGAUGUGUGAAAAGAUUUAUCGGUAUAAGAUGGACCCGCGUCUGAUUAGUUAGUUGGUGGGGUAACGGCCUACCAAGACGACGAUCAGUAGCCGACUUGAGAGAGUGAUCGGCCACAUUGGGACUGAGACACGGCCCAGACUCCUACGGGAGGCAGCAGUAGGGAAUAUUGCACAAUGGGGGAAACCCUGAUGCAGCGACGCCGCGUGAGUGAUUGAAGUAUUUCGGUAUGUAAAGCUCUAUCAGCAGGGAAGAUAAUGACGGUACCUGCAUAAGAAGCCCCGGCUAACUACGUGCC